AACGUAGGACACAAGCGUUAUCCGGAGUUACUGGGCGUAAAGGGCGCGUAGGCGGGCGGCUAAGUCCGCGGUGAAAUCCUCCAGCUCAACUGGAGAACGGCCGCGGAUACUGGUCGUCUCGAGGAACGUAGGGGUAUGCGGAACUAUCGGUGGAGCGGUGAAAUGCGUUGAUAUCGAUAGGAACUCCGGUGGCGAAGGCGGCAUACUGGACGUUUUCUGACGCUGAGGCGCGAAAGCCAGGGGAGCAAACGGG
rnacentral:rRNA from 1 species